AACGCGACGGACGGUCUGUUCCACUGGUUGCCGGCUUCCACGUGGACGCGGCUCUUUUCCUCCGGUACGUUCUCUUCCCAAGUUGUUCCCUUCGUUCCGAUCCGCGCGUGUGUGAAUCACGACUGCCCGUGACCAAAGUGAGAAUUCUGUGUGACAGUGAGAAAUCACAGUUUCUGUUCGAUCUCGUGUUCAGAAAUUACGCGUCACGAGUGAGAGUUCAGUGGAUCAGAUAACAAGCGAUAAGUACGUGUUCGGUGAGACUCGGACGGUGUUUCCUCGGAGCCCAUCCACCUUUUUGGAUUACUAGAAUCGAGAGCGACGGCCGACGCAGGGAUCCGACGCUUUGAAAAGGUACGUCAAGACAGGAUUUGUUCAUAGUAUGACUGCAAACAUGUGUGAGCCUGUCCAAGCAUUGAAAUGAAUGAAGCCAGCAAUGUCUACUUAUGAAAUCCGAUCCGAACGUAAAAAUAAUCGUUCCGCAUU